rnacentral:rRNA from 1 species
GACGAACGCUGGCGGCGUGCUUAACACAUGCAAGUCGAACGGGCCUUGUCCCCUUUUUUUUGGGGGUGGGGUUAGUGGCGAACGGGUGAGUAACACGUGAGUAACCUGCCCCUCACUUCUGGAUAACCGCUUGAAAGGGUGGCUAAUACGGGGUGUUCUGGCCUGCUCGCAUGGGUGGGUUUGGAAAGAUUCGACCGGUUUUGGUUGUUUUGGUGGGGGAUGGGCUCGCGGCCUAUCAGCUUGUUGGUGGGGUGAUGGCCUGCCAAGGCUUUGACGGGUAGCCGGCCUGAGAGGGUGGGCGGUCACACUGGGACUGAGACACGGCCCAGACUCCUACGGGAGGCAGCAGUGGGGAAUAGUGCACAAUGGGCGCAAGCCUGAUGCAGCGACGCCGCGUGAGGGAUGGAGGCCUUCGGGUUGGGAACCUCUUUCGCCAGUGAAGAAGGUCCUGCUCUUUGUGGUGGGGUUGACGGUAGCUGGGUUAAUGAAGCGCCGGCUAACUACGUG